AGACACUGUGGUGUAGCCUUGCUUGCCGGGGAAUGCUGCUGCCACCUGGCUGACAACUCAGGGAUCUCAGGCUUCUCAUAUGGCAGCUCUUGUAGAGGACAAUAAGGACACAGCAAAAGAGUACCAUUUGAUCUCACGAUGUAUCUCUUAGUAAAAAAAAAGGCUGUUUGGUGAUGAGAAUGAAAAUCUGUUUCUGCUCUUCACACACACCACUGGUCCAGAUUAAAUGAAGAAUCGACCCCAGGACACUGCUUUGGGAUAGUCUGUACUGUGACUCUUCCCUCGCUCACCUUCAAGCCAGCUGGAUCUUCUGCCACUCCUGCCUCACCAGGACACGACUCCAGUGAUCGAUGCAGCUCAUCAAUGGCUUCACUUGUGACUUUCCACACUGCAUAAUAGCGAUCUUGCUUCCUAUGGCCUGCAUAUAAAUAGGUGUUACCCAAAGAGGGCACAGUGCUGGAGAUAGAACUCAGGGCUUCACACAUGCAAGGCGAGUGCUUUGAGCUACACCCCCAGCCCAACUCCUGAUAUUUUUGAUAGUUUAUUUUCCAGCUUUGAAAAGAUGGGAAAGAAAAAGAUUCAAGAAAACCCUCAGUUCUGGGGCACGACCCAUUUACCUUGCUCUGGGGAGAGGACCAGGGCACCAAGUACUUCCUCCAGCUCCUGGAUUUGCUUUAAUAACUUCUCACCUUUAUCUGGAAGAGCCUGGAUGUUCACCGAUGCCAGGGUGCUCUGAAAAACAGGUCCUAUCAAAUGGAUCACUCCUCUCUGGCUGUUAGAGGGUAGCUUUAGAUUAAAACAGCUUAAUAUGCCAAAAUUCUAAAAUUGUGGUCUUUUUACUAUAUGUAAAAACCAGGACUUUUUUUUAAACCCAGAUGGUUUACAAACCCUGAAAA